UAUUGCACAAUGGGGGAAACCCUGAUGCAGCGACGCCGCGUGAUUGAUGACGCCCUUCGGGGUGUAAAGAUCUGUCAGUGGGGACGAAAAAUGACGGUAUCCACAGAGGAAGAACCGGCUAACUCAGUGCCAGCAGCCGCGGUAAUACGGAGGGUGCAAGCGUUGUCCGGAAUCAUUGGGCGUAAAGAGUUCGUAGGUGGCCUGUUAAGUCAGGUGUUAAAGGUCGAGGCUCAACCUCGGUAUGGCACUUGAUACUGGCAAGCUUAAAUUCGGUAGAGGUAAAGGGAAUUCCUGGUGUAGCGGUGAAAUGCGUAGAUAUCAGGAGGAACAUCGGUGGCGUAAGCGCUUUACUGGGCCGACAUUGACACUGAGGAACGAAAGCCGGGGUAGCAAAUGGGA
rnacentral:rRNA from 1 species